rnacentral:lncRNA from 1 species
AUAUAUAUAUAUAUAUAUAUAUAUUGAGACAUUGAGGUCAGUGUGGGUGAGGAGGCAGAGAUAGAGAGAAAAUUCAGAGAAAAUUUCGGAUUUGAAAAUUAGGGUUCUUGAGGUUUCCUUGGAUUCUUCCAUUUUCAUUUUUGUUUUCGCGUCCAGAGAUACAAAAAAAAAACCGACAAAAAAAAUUAUUUUUCAGCUUCUGUUUUAAUUUUUUGUCAUGGAAUUCGAUUGAAGCGUUGUUGAGUGCCGAAGAUUUGUUGUCCAGUCAAGGUGUUCGUGUUCGCGUUCCUUGAGCUGUUUUGCUGCUCUGUUGCUUCAUUGUUGAUUCUGGAUCUUCAGUAGCAGUUUUUCGUUCUCAAGUUCAUCGCCGAAUCUUCUUCUGUUGUAAUCGAUACCAACAGAAUUAAUUGAAAGCUUAAUUUCCAGGUUCGUUUGUUUCUCUUGUUCUGUUUUGGUGUUAUUGAAAACAUGAUAAGAGCCUAGUUAUUUUGCAAUAUGUUAAAGAGUCCGUUUAGCCGCGCCUUAUUUGGAAUAGUUACUCUGUUUUACUUUGAUAUAAAUUGAGUUUCUGUUUUGGAAGUUAAGUUCGUUGUUGGCGUAGCUCGAUCUUACUAAGUUUCUAAACUUUGUUUGUUGUGUAACUGAUGGAUCAAUGAUGCAUGUCGUUCGUAAAUUUGAUUAGUGUCUUGUAUGCUGGUUUGAAAUCGAAAUCGAGGAAGAAUGAAUAUGUAGGUUAGUCGUGUUGACAUCUACUUGGAUAUUCCAAUUGAUGCGUUUAGUUUCAUUUUCAUGUUUCAAGGAAGAAUAACUUUGCUUUGUUCUGCUUGCCUCCAUGAUUUUUGAUGAAGUAAUUUGUUUAAGAACUACUGUUUAUCUAAGCAUAAAAGGAGACAUAAAAGGUCUUGUGCAUAAUUGGGAUUCCUGUUAAGGACAUGAUCGCAUUUGCUACUUAAUAAUCGUUGAAGGAUCUAUUGAGUAUUAUGGAUAGCAGUAGUACGCGAAAUUGGUCUGUGAGGUUGAAAGCUUUAAUUAUCAAGCUGGUCGUGUGUCGAAAUUGCUCUUUUUCACAUGUUUGUGUAGUUGGUCUAUAUCGCAUUCUGUUGUAAGUUUAGGGUCUCUCGAUGUUAGUUAAUCAGGUGACUGUGCAUGAGGGCUAGUUUUAAAUCUCGUUUGAGAGAUUCUGGUGCUGUGAUUGUGUAUGAAUCUGGUACACAAGCGAGGUUCCAGUUAGUUUGAGGGGAAAUUAAAUAGAUAUGCUAGAUUGAAUGUGAUUCGUCAUAAUCUUCGAUUUCUGUUUAUCACAUUAGGCAAAUUUAAACAUGAAAUGUUCUGCCAAAUCUUCUGCUGUUGCUUUUCAAGCGAGCUAAGCUGUCAUUGUUGAAGCUUCGAUUUUUCAAGAGUGUGGGAAUCAAAUGAAUGCUGAAAGUUCGAAAUGAAAUCAAUGCUUUAACAGUUUGAAAUAAUGUCAUGCUUCCGUUUGCCUAACAAAGAAUAGCUUUCUUCUGAAGUAUACUCUUUAGUUCUUUCCAGUUCACUUUUCCGACAGUGGUCUUUGAUAUUAAGGCAUGAGGAUUUGUUACUUAAGUGAAUCGUUUCUGAUGAAUUGGAGAAUUUAGCUCUUAGGAAUCUUCAAUGAGCUUGAGAGACAGUGAGGGACCUUCGUCGCGCUUCAGACCAACCUAUCCUUUACUUGGUUGUAUUUCCUGGUUGUGCUAAUCUAUAAAUGCUUUCAAUGUUUGAAUGAUUUCUUGCCUCGUUGGUGUGACGGUGUUACCUGGUUUGAAUGACUGUUGGGCCGUGGGAUUUGGGAAAAAGACUAGCCCAUCAGUGUUUAAACUUAUUUGCAUGCUAGAAUUGGGUUUGGUCUAAAUACAUGAAAGUGAUGUUAAAAGAACGUGACCCAAAGUUGAAUUUCUUUUAGUUUUUCUCUUAUUUACUUAUUCUCGUUUUAUUAUUAUUCGCUAGGAGCAUGUUAGGCCGACCACGCUCGGGUAGGCAAGCUUUAGGACCUUUUGUUAAUUGUGAGGCGAGAGGCCGUUCCCCUAGUUAAAUUUAUCCGGGUAAUGUCCCGAAGGACUUGUGUAUAUUUUAUUUCGGGGAAUGCCCCAAAGUACUUGUAUUGGGAGGCCUUAAGUGAAACUCAUACUAUUUUUAGUUUUAGUUUUAUUUUCCUUUUAUUAGGUGAGAACUACUUCGAAACUCUUGUGUGUUUGUUUUUCUUUUUUGUGUUUGUUUAUUUAUCUCAAUUCGAAUAUUCUAAAAGCCAACUAAAUCGAGUACGCAACCGUGACUUUCACGGGACUCAGGGAAUGCCUAACACCUUCUCCCCGAGUCAAAUGAACCCCUUUAUGCAAACCUCUGGUGCAGACUUAGUUUUGAGCCCAAGUAUUUUAAAAGGAAAAUAUUUUCUACAAAAACGGUGGCCUGGCAUACCGAAAUCAAAUGCCCAGGUGGCGACUCUGAGUUUUCCUUUUGAAUACAAUCUUUAUCACUUUCAAAAAUUGGAAAUCUUUUUUCAAGCUUUAUUUAAAUUUUUUUAUUUAUUUAAGAGGGCUAAGUGGAGUUUGGUUAAAAAGAUAUGUGACAGUUGUGUUUGGCUUAAAUUGUAAGUAGUUGCUGCCAGUUUAGGUAUGUAUAAUACUCUACUACAUGUUCUUGAAGUUGUUUGUAUAUUGGUUGCUAUGUUUGAGCAAGAUACUACAAGAGAAGACUUGAAAUAGUUUGAGAUGUUAUUGUUCUUAAUGGACUAUUUUGGGAAGGUUGUUUUCAUAAACUUUAAAUGGUUGGAAACCUUGGAAAAUGACUUGUUUAUGCUAUUGUUUUCAUUAAUAUAUUGUCUACAUGUCAAACUUGUUAUUGGUAUUGUGAAUAAGAAGAUAAAGGACAACAUAACAAUGGAAAUCCUGCGAUUUUGCUUAGCAUGUUGUUAAUUUAACUAAUGUAUGAUAAUGGGUUUGAAGGGCGCUAGUUGGAUUUAUCCAUUUCAAAGUCCUGUGAUGAUCCUCUUCCUCAUGAUGUUGCAAACACAUGUAAUAUUUCAUGUGAGACCCCUGGAUGUAGACAUAAAAACCAAGAAUAUGUGUCUUCCGUGUGUAUCCUAGUUGACAAAUGUGGCCGGCAGUUCCUCCCAAAUGAUACCAUAAAAUCAUUCAAAAACAUGUGCCCACAGUUAAUUUGGCCAGUGUAUGCUUAAUCCGGGCAAGUUCCUCCAUUAUGCAUUGAUUCAUGUAUUUCCUGCUUGUAGUAACAUAAUCAAACUAAAGAAGCAACAGUCAUACCAAAUUAGCCUCCGGUUGUCUUGAUAUUGCAUGACAACUUUGAAGAACAAAUUGGGAAGCCUUCAUUCUAAACGGCCAGUUGCGGUUGCCUUCCAUCUUGAUAUAGUACACCUACAAAUUAUCAAUAGCAUACAACAUAUGCUAGGACAAUGGUUUUGUUCCAGUUCAUGCUCUAGAAUGGCAAUUAGUAUACCAAUUCCCAACCCUAGCAAGUCAUCUUGAUGUACCACCUCCAUGCUUGUACCUAUCCUUGCUUCCCCUCCAAUGGAAUGAGUACAAAGUACUAAUACCACACAUUAAAGGUUAGUCCAAAGAUAAGGCAUGGAUACAGUAUCUUUUCCUACAAAAAAGAAUACAAUGUUAGUAAAGAACAACCACAUCAUGUUCUCAUCCCUAAGGACUCGAACAAGGUGGUCGUGUGUACUGCCAACAACCUUCUCCUCCAUCAUUGUACUCCUCACCUCCUAACUUCUUGCAACUUUUAUUCUCAAGUAUGGACAUUGGAAUUUUUCAUCAUUCACAAUUCUUCUUCCUUGGACAUCCAAUUGUGUGAAACAAUCACACUCAAUAGAACCAUAGUCAAUUGCAUAAUUGGUAAGAUGAUCUUCCAGUUUGUUUCCUACCUUAAAUAUGUGUGACACCCUAGCAUUACAUGUCACUAGUAUCUUCCUUAUUUUCUCCACAUAUCCAACAAUCACCCAUGGUGGUUUUCAGUUGACCUCAAUAACAUUUUUAAGCAUCAUUGAAUCAGUCUGCAACCAAAUGUGGGUGAUGUGGUGUUGAGAACGACUUCUUAGGGCCUCCAAAACAGCCAAUGCCUCAGCCACUGUAUUUGUAGUCUCCUGUAAUUCCUUUCCACAUGCAUAUACCACAUCUUCAAGCUCGUUUCUCAUACAAAAACCAAUAGAACUCCUGCCCGGAUUCUCCCUAAAUGCCCCAUCAGUAUUACCUUUAACCCAGCCAUCACUAGGAAAUUCCCAUUGUUUAAUUUAGGAGAAUAGUUGUCCAUCAUAUGCAACAAAUCUGGCCACCUAUGCAGUACAUGUUGAAGCCUAGGUUUCCGAACUUUGAAAAGAGAUUAAAUAGUAGAAGACUCUUGAUAAAUGACCUACUAAUAGUCACAAUGUCCCAGUGCUUAUAACUGUUUCUCCUCUUCCACAGUUCCCACAUAAUAAUACAACGCAAAUCUUGAAAGAUUUGCCGAGCGUCGAUUGGAAAUAGCCUCUCUGCCCUUUCGGGUAGGGGUAAGGCUCGUCUACAUAUUGCCCUCCCCAGACCCCACUUUGUGGGACUAUACUGGGUAGUAGUUGUUGUUGUUGUUGUUGGUAUUACCUGGACUGUCCAGAACUUCAUCACUGCUUGGUGCAAGUUUAGACCUUCUAGUGAUAAACCUGCAAAUGAAAAGAUUUAAGACCACACCCUAGAACACAUGCCCCUUGUUUCCUCAUUCAGAUUUACACAACACCAACAAACUGAAUGCGUAAAAUAUCUCCAAUAGGAAUGGCAAUGGGCCGGGGCGGAUGGGUUUAAACCUAUGCGGGUUGAAGCUUGUGCGGGUGCGGGGCGGGUUGCGAGUCCAUUGCCUUUAUCCAGUUUUGGGCCUUUACGCCUUUAGGCCUUUAGGCUAACAUUGGAAGUUAAUUUCAUUGUUUAACCACAAUCUUCAAAUACAUAUUGAACCAUAUUCUGUCGGAAAAUCAUAUCGUUACUUUUUUUUGCCAGAACACAUUUACCUGAUUAUGUGUUUGAUUCUAGAUUUCUAGUAAUAUCUUUUAAUUAGGAGUAAUAACAUUCUUCAAAGUUUAGCAGCUUAUAAAUUAUGUUAAUCAUUUGACUAUUAGUUAAUAUUUUAUCAAAACUAAACGUAAUAAUUUAUUGAAAUCAUAAUCUUAUUUCAAUAUUAUAAUACCUUAUUUAUAACUUCAACUGUCCGUUUAUCUAUUCGGGAUGUUGUAUAUUUUUUCCAUUCGGAUGUGCUAAUAUUUUGUAGAUCAUGAAGUUUAGUUGUCAAAUUUUAAAAGUUUUACCUUAUAGAUUAAUCAAUAAGUGAAAUUUUAUAGAUAUCAUAUAAAAUUUAGUCCUAAACUAUUUUAUAAAUAGAAUAACUUUUGGUGCAACAUGUUAAGUGAAAAAUACAUAUCUGGAUCAUUAAAACAAGCUACUAAUCAAUAGAAAUGAAAAAUGAUAAAUAGAAAAAGAAAAAAAAAGCCUUAUGCGGGCGGGACGGGGCGGGGCGAGCAGGAGCGGGUCGAGUGAGGGUUGAGUUAUUGCAGGUUUAAGUUGAACCUGCCCCGCAAUCGCCCCGCCCCGUUCUAUUGCCAUCCCUAGCAAUACUAACAAGCUUCUUAAUGAGAAGCUUGGGAUAGACUUGGCGGUUCGAGAUAAGCAUGCUGAGAUGGCUGAACACGUAUUGGGAGUUUGAGCGGGCUUCUAAGUGUUUCUUCCAACCGUAAUUUGCCCUUCCAAACUUUCCACAUGAAAAAAGGCUUCUUAAAUGGUAGUCCCUUCACCCAUAUGUUCUUGUAAACAAUGCUAGAGUCUCUUCUCCUUCUUAGGUACUCCCAGGAAGACUUGAUGCUAAACUCACCCUCUGUCUCCAACAUCAAGAAAAGUUUAUCUAGGUUGUGCAUUGUCUCGUCACAAUAGAUUAACAAAUUGGUUCUUAUUUGUCCAAUCAAUUAUAGGUGUAACUCUUAUUUUGACUUCACGUAUUUUGCUAUGUCAAUAUUUUCGUUCAUAGUUCGUAUCCGAAUUGAGGUCAAGGAUUUUUCUAUCAAGUCUUGGUUUGCAUUUUGAUUAUCUUCAAAUAAGAAAAUCACAAAAAAUAAAAAUUAUUCAUCGAUUGUUCUUAUUUGAUUUCCAGAAGUAGAAAUACAUCAUUGUUCGUCUCUUGUCUUGCUGCGACUAAUAUUUCAAACAUGAAUCAAAAUUAAAAUUGUUCUUUUGAUUAUUGACUCUCUGUGCUAGAAUUAAGAAUGAAGUUUGGUUUGAGAUUGGAACCCUAGUCGCCAUGGCAUUAUCAAAAAAUUGGGGUUUUUGCUCAAAUCCGAAAAGUUUGAGCUCGAAAUCGACUGGGGGUGUUCUAAUCUUGUUGGUACAGCUUGAUUGAGGUAAAAUCUGAAGCACUAGAUAAGAUUGCGACUGUUUUGGAAAGUUUUGCUCAGAAUUUCAACGCGGUUCUCAAAGGAGAAGUCGAUUGGGAUUUUUCGAUUCAGGGAUCGUUGGAGCAAAUUGAGUACUAGGCUUUUGCUCUGGUUGUUGAAUGGAGCUCGUAUGUCAAAAUUGAACUCAGUUGGUGAAGCUUCAGUGCAUUUGGGAUUGCAUUUUUGCAGCUGCUGUUCGAAGAACAGAGCUUCAGAUUUCUUCUAAGUACAACUAUUAAGUGCCCUACACAACGUAUUUACUCAUCGAUGCAUAGCUGAUUCCAAUAAUUCAUCAUUGAAGAUUGCACAUGUUAGAUUUCAGAAGUUCAACCGUAGUUUGAUUUCUGAAAAUUGAAAGGAUUUGAGUUUCAACUGAACUACUACUUCGUUCUGAGUAAUUGAUUUGAAUGAAUUCGAUUCGUGUUGCUUAGCUUGAUUUAUGAGUAUUGAUCAGAAAUCUGUCGUAGCUACUACAAAUUUGAAACUCCAUUUGUGUUCAGUUUGUUGCUGCCAAUUGUGAUCUAUAUCCUUGAUUGAGUUUCUGAGUUGUUAACUGAAAAAUUCAUCGAUAGCUUGGUUGAAUAAUCUCUGUGUGAUGAUAUGUUGAACUAGUUGUCUUCUUGAAGACCUUUGUGAUUCUUGAGUUUGAAUUUUGAAUUAACACUUGUUGAUUGAUGCUGCGGUUGAACAAUCAUUUCUGUUCUCCAGAAUUGCAGCAGUAGAAAUUUCACCGUGAGCUUCGACAUUCAAGUUGUAUACGGUAAAAUCGGACGGUCCAAUUUUCCAUCGUUAUGACGCCUCGAAGGCUCGGAAUCCUGGUCGAGUUUCAUCCCUCGAGGGCCAUCGACACUCGAUCUCGGAACAGUAUGAGACCGACGGUCACUGGAAGAAAAUGGGGAGUUCCCAAGGCGUUAAGCUAGAGCUGACAAAAUCUGCCAGGUUAGUGUGAGCCUGUAUCGUGACAUUAACUAGGUGUCCCAUCUCCAUAUCUUUGUAAUAAAUGCACUUGUACUAUAUUGGGAUUCCCCCUCUUAUAUAAAAGGGAUCCUUGUCAUUUUGUAAACAUCUGUUGCCUCCAUACUGAAUAUACAAGAACAUCUCUCUUCUAUUUAACACAUUCUCUUGGUCUCGUUAUCUCAUUUAUUGCC